rnacentral:rRNA from 1 species
CCUACGGGUGGCAGCAGUGAGGAAUAUUGGUCAAUGGGCGGAAGCCUGAACCAGCCAAGUAGCGUGCAGGAUGACGGCCCUACGGGUUGUAAACUGCUUUUAUACGGGAAUAACGCGCCUUACGUGUAGGGCUUUGCAAGUACCGUAUGAAAAAGGACCGGCUAAUUCCGUGCCAGCAGCCGCGGUAAUACGGAGGAUGCGGGCGUUAUCCGGAUUUAUUGGGUUAAAGGGGGGCGUAGGCGGCCGGUCAAGCUGGUGGUAAAAUUUCGGGGCUCAACCGCGCCGUGCAGUGGCAACUGGGGUGCUUGAGUCCGCGGAAAGCAGGUGGAAUUCGUGGUGUAGCGGUGAAAUGCUUAGAUAUGACGCAGAACCCCGAUUGCGAAGGCAGCUUACUGGCGCCCAACUGACGCUGAUGCUCGAAGGCGUGGGUAUCGAACAGGAUUAGAUACCCUAGUAGUC